rnacentral:ncRNA from 11 species
AGUUUAGUGGUAAAAGUGUGAUUCGUUCUAUUAUCCCUUAAAUAGUUAAAGGGUCCUUCGGUUUGAUUCGUAUUCCGAUCAAAAACUUGAUUUCUAAAAAGGAUUUAAUCCUUUUCCUCUCAAUGACAGAUUCGAGAACAAAUACACAUUCUCGUGAUUUGUAUCCAAGGGUCACUUAGACAUUGAAAAAUUGGAUUAUGAAAUUGCGAAACAUAAUUUUGGAAUUGGAUCAAUACUUCCAAUUGAAUAAGUAUGAAUAAAGGAUCCAUGGAUGAAGAUAGAAAGUUGAUUUCUAAUCGUAACUAAAUCUUCAAUUUCUUAUUUGUAAAGAAGAAAUUGAAGCAAAAUAGCUAUUAAACGAUGACUUUGGUUUACUAGAGACAUCAACAUAUUGUUUUAGCUCGGUGGAAACAAAACCCUUUUCCUCAGGAUCCUAUUAAAUAGAAAUAGAGAACGAAAUAACUAGAAAGGUUGUUAGAAUCCCCUCUUCUAGAAGGAUCAUCUACAAAGCUAUUCGUUUUAUCUGUAUUCAGACCAAAAGCUGACAUAGAUGUUAUGGGUAGAAUUCUUUUUUUUUUUCGAAUUUUGUUCACAUCUUAGAUCUAUAAAUUGACUCAUCUCCAUAAAGGAGCCGAAUGAAACCAAAGUUUCAUGUUCGGUUUUGAAUUAGAGACGUUAAAAAUAAUGAAUCGACGUCGACUAUAACCC